rnacentral:rRNA from 1 species
UACAGAGGGUGCAAGCGUUGUUCGGAAUUAUUGGGCGUAAAGCGCGUGUAGGCGGCUUUGCAAGUCGGGUGUGAAAGCCCUCAGCUCAACUGAGGAAGUGCGCCCGAAACUGCAGAGCUUGAGUACCGGAGAGGAUGGCGGAAUUCCCCAAGUAGAGGUGAAAUUCGUAGAUAUGGGGAGGAACACCGGUGGCGAAGGCGGCCACCUGGACGGAUACUGACGCUGAGACGCGAAAGCGUGGGGAGCAAACAGG